rnacentral:rRNA from 1 species
GUCUACGGCCAUACCACCCUGAACGCGCCCGAUCUCGUCUGAUCUCGGAAGCUAAGCAGGGUCAGACCUGGUUAGUACUUGGAUGGAUUAAAAAGAAAAAAGUCAAUAUGGUUUGUUGUAGAAU